rnacentral:rRNA from 1 species
CUUCAUAAGGUGAAACCGCGAACGGCUCAUUAUAACAGCUAUAAUUUACUAGACCUUGAGCAACUACUUGGAUACCUGUGGUAAUUCUAGAGCUAAUACAUGCACCGAAGUUGUUCCUCACGGAGCAAUGCAUUUAUUUGAGCAAAACCAGGCGGCUUCGGCCGUUUCUGUUGAUUCAGAAUAACUAAGCUGAUCGCAUGGGCUUGUCCCGGCGACGUGUCUUUCAAGUGUCUGCCUUAUCAACUUUCGAUGGUAGUGUACGUGACUACCAUGGUGUUGACGGGUAACGGAGGAUAAGGGUUCGACUCCGGAGAAGGGGCCUGAGAAAUGGCCACUACGUCUAAGGAUGGCAGCAGGCGCGCAAAUUACCCACUCUCAGUUCGAGGAGGUAGUGACGAAAAAUAACAAGGCCGUUCUCUUUGAGGCCGGCCAUUGGAAUGGGUACAACUUAAACCCUUUAACGAGUAUCAAUGAGAGGGCAAGUCUGGUGCCAGCAGCCGCGGUAAUUCCAGCUCUCAAAAUGCAUAGAACCAUUGCUGCGGUUAAAAAGCUCGUAGUUGGAUCUGUGCCGGCGACGUGGUCCGCCCUAACCGGCGGUACUGCGCUCGUCGGCUUUGGGCCGGUCUUCGGUCGGUCGCCUUCACUGGCGGCCGCUCGUGGCUGGCUGGUUUACUUUGAGCAAAUCAGAGUGCUCAGCACAGGCGUCUCGCCGGAAUGUUCGUGCAUGGAAUAAUAGAAAAGGAUUUCGGUUCUCUUUUAUUGGUUUUGUGAACUGAGAUAAUGGUUAACAGAGACGGACGGGGGCAUUCGUAUUGCUGCGUGAGAGGU